rnacentral:rRNA from 1 species
UACGGAGGGGGCUAGCGUUGUUCGGAAUUACUGGGCGUAAAGGGCGCGUAGGCGGCUCAUCUAGUCGGGCGUGAAAGCCCCGGGCUCAACCCGGGAGGUGCGCACGAUACUGGUGGGCUAGAGUGCGAGAGAGGUGAGUGGAAUACCCAGUGUAGAGGUGAAAUUCGUAGAUAUUGGGUGGAACACCAGUGGCGAAGGCGGCUCACUGGCUCGCAACUGACGCUGAGGCGCGAAAGCGUGGGGAGCAAACAGG